AUGCGACUGGAUUGCUGCGAUAGAUGGACGGAUGGAUGGGCGAGCUAAGUUGACGACGUAGUCAGAAGAUUGUGCCCGGCAAAAAGUCUUACAAACAUUAUAGCUGAUCGGAACUAGAUCAACAUUCAUCAAUAAAUAAGAGAAGGAUAGACGGAGGACUGGGAGGAUUCGAAUAAUAAAGGGAUCCGCAAAUCACGCAGGAUGAUGACAUAAUUAUAGACGCCUCGUGAGAAAGAAAACGUAACAGAGAUAAUACACAAGCCUGUUAAACCAUCAGCCGUGCAAACGCACCGUAUAUGCCAGGUAAGAAAUGCAAAUUGCUUAGAUGUUAUCAGCAAUAAUUACAUUUGAAUGUUAAAUCUACAUAAAUUUGAAUUCUCUCUGCGCUGCGAGGAGGAAUGCUUCCUCUUGAUUAAACCGAUUUCUAUUACGCGAACGAACGAAAGUGGCCUACGCGUGUUCGUAGCGAGUGGCUUUGUAAAAUUUAUCUAAUAGAUAUGUAUUUGUGACGGCAGUGCCGGCAAAUGUAAUUGAUUGUCAUGACUCGGGUAAUCAUUUUUACAGCGGUGAAACAUCGCGCGCGGCACUCGCUACGUUAUCCAUUAUUAGUACCUGAUCAAUGUAAAUGAUAUUAAUAUUAAUAUUGAUGAGAAUGCAGAGAUACUUAAUUAACAUGAUAUAUUCAAUUAAGCCCGGGCUGCCGCGGCAAUUUCCCAAAGUUCAUUUUGCGCGGGCCGGGACCAUUUUCCAGUUUAUUUAGCCGAUAACUGUUCCGGUGCGUCGCGGCCACCCUAUGUAAAUUUGGUUACGGCCGCCAUGAGACACGUAACCGCACGCGGACGAAAAUGCACAAAUAACGCAAAAAUAUGUAUGCAUUCGAUAAAGCGAGACGGGAGGUAAUGACUACAACGCCGGCGAUUCUCACGAGACUCGACGACAGCUUUUCAAUUCUCUCAACUUUUCGUUAACAUCAAUUUUGCAAGUCGCAGAGGGUCAAGUUUUCAGCUCGGAAAUCGAUUAUUUGUUUCCUCGAUGCAUAAAAGGGAAAAAGAGAAGGAGAGAGAGAAAGGAACGGUGACCCUAAUUUUCUUAAAUUUGAUUUUGCUUCUUUCAAGCACGUCUCUGUUGUCAGGUCCUCUUGCAUCCCGAUAUUGUCAGGUCAGCUUGCAUCCCGAUAUUGCUACUCGAUUUUCCUCGUAUCGUGCCUCCGAUGUCUCGGAUGCGAUUUAAAGCCGCACGCACACCUGUCCGUAAUAAAAUUCUGAUUUCAACGCUAGCGUCAAUCCAGGGGGGGGAGGAAGGAGGGAGGAAGAACAGGCAAAAAGGGAAAUAACGAUGGGUCGCGUCCGCGGCCGGGCUUGGCCGAAACCGCGUACUAUCCCCUCGUAAAUUCACCGGGCGCACCCUUGUACCGGCGCCGAUCGGCGAGAAAAUGAAUUCCCAGGAUUGAAACUGUACGAUCAGGUCCCUGUAAAAAAAUCCGCAAAAAAAGGCGGAAAGAAAAUUACGUGCUUGCGGUAAACGUCCUCUUGUACCCUGCCUCUUUCCCUCCGCGACCGCGUUGCUUUUUGUCCGCGCGAGAACGGCGCUGGACCAUGUAAUCGGAUUUCAAUGACGAUACGUUAACAAUGUUCGGCCCGUCGCCGAUCCCGUCGUUAUCGGUAAGAAAUGAGAUUAUCCACACAAGGGAUGUGCAUGUCACGAUGUCAAAGCGCGCCAGUUUUCGAUGAGCUUUGCUCAUGAAUGAUGCUCUGUCUCCUCGUGGAUCGUUAAUAGCGAGCCAAUCGAUGCAUACGGUGCAAUUGAACCUGAUAAGCACCCCCGCGAAGCACGCUAGAUAAUGUAUGAAAAUCUAAGCCACCGCAUCCGCUGUGCGAAAUUCGUGCAUUGCAGCAUUUCGUGGACAUCCCAAUUGCAUUGCGGUAUUCCGAUUGUAUUAUAGAUUUCCUUUUAAUUCGCGGAGCACAUACAGUGUUGAAAAUAUCGGCGAUAACGAAGUGCACAUUCCUUUAAACUAACUAAAAUAAGAAAAAGAUUAAA